rnacentral:rRNA from 1 species
GGGGGGGGGGGGGGGGGGGGCGGGGGGGGGGGGGGGGGGGGGGCGGGGGAGGGGCUUGGUGGUGUGAGGUUGGCGGGGGACGGGUGAGUGACCGGUGGGUAACCUACCUAUGAGACUGGGGUAACUUCGGGAAACCGGAGCUAAUACCGGAUAAUAUAUUGGACCGGAUGGUUCAAUAGGGAAAGGCGGGUUUGCUGUCACUUAUAGAUGGAUCCGCGCCGCAUGCGCUAGUUGGUAAGGUAACGGCUUACCAAGGCAACGAUGCGUAGCCGACCUGAGAGGGUGAUCGGCCACACUGGAACUGAGACACGGUCCAGACUCCUACGGGAGGUAGCAGUAGGGAAUCUUCCGCAAUGGGCGAAAGCCUGACGGAGCAACGCCGCGUGAGUGAUGAAGGUCUUCGGAUCGUAAAACUCUGUUAUUAGGGAAGAACAAAUGUGUAAGUAACUAUGCACGUCUUGACGGUACCUAAUCAGAAAGCCACGGCUAACUACGUG